rnacentral:lncRNA from 1 species
AGCCGGCACAGGGCUGUGCUGCAGAUGGGCAGAGGCAGCUGUUGGCUUUGGGGCUGCAGUUCCCCCCACCUUCCCAUGCUUUGUGUCAAGGGUGCAGCCACGCACACAGCAGCACCUCCUGCUGUGCUCUGAGUUCUGGGAGGGGAUUUCAGAGGGGGAAAAAAAAAAAUAGAAUGAAAAAAAAUAGAAUGAAAAUAUUGAAUCUGGUUCCAUUUAAUGAUGAUUACAGAUUGUAAUGAUUUCGCAUUCUGCAGCCUCCGCCAGGUGGGGCCUGGGCUGACUCCUCUGCGCUGCUGGGAGGCGGACGGAGCUGCAAAACCGCGACAUUUCCAAUAGUAAACACAUCCACAGCGCGCUCCUUCGUGUGCCUUCCUGCCUCCUCUUUGUGUUUUAUCUCGGUCUCCCGGGAGCGGGGAACGCAGCGUGUCUGACAGACGCCAACCCCGCACAACGGAGCAGAAAGCGGCUUCCUCCGGCCCUGAGCAGCAGAUCAGCUGGCGCUGCGAUUGCAGGACGUAAGAAGAUUGCGAGUUUAAAUUUAGCAUCAUCAGGAAAAGAGCGAGCUCUCCUCACGACGCAUUUCGUGCUGCGUUUAGCCGGGGGGUCUCCCACGGACGGAAAGGCAGAGCCCACCGCAAGGAUGCUGCGCUCACGGGGCUGCGGUGGUCCCGACCAAGCGGCUCCCCACGGCUUUCCCGCAGCGUUCGGACACGCGUGAAGCGACUCCGCGUUCCCCCCCCCCCCCCCCCCCCCCCCCCCCACCUCCCAGGCCGGCCCCACUGCUGGCUCCGCCCGCCGUGAUGCGUUCGGGAGGCGUCUCCGCUGCCGCCGCUCCGCGGAGCCGAGCCAGGGCCGGGCCGAACCGAACCGAACCGCGCAACGAGGGUUGAAGAGGCGAAGCGAGGAGGAAGGAGAUCGAUGGGCGGCGAGAGACACGGAGCGGCGUCUCGGCCUGCAGCGAUGGAUGCGUGAUCUGCGGAACGCUGUCCGUCUGUCCGUCCGUCUGCUUGCAGCACGGAGGGGGGGGGUGUCCACGAGCCUUGGCCGCUCCAUCCGAGGGACGCCCCGCAGCCCGCCGGCACCGCACUCAGAGCUGCUCAGAGGGCAUCGGGACACGAAGGCACUGCCAGCCGAAUUGCACCGCGAUGUCGCCGUUUGGUGAGCUGCGGGAAGGCCCCGCGUGUCCCUCCGGUGAGGCCGGGCUGCCCGCAGGGAGCGCUGAGUCCGCGCAUCCCCUGCCCUGAGCCGGCCCAGCACCGGCUGCGUCCCUGGGAUGCUCACCUCUGAACGCAGCGCUGCAGCCGAGCUGCUCCGACCCAGCAGGGUGUAUUUCGGGAGGAAGUUCUCAUCU